rnacentral:lncRNA from 1 species
CAGCAAUCUGAGCAAGCAGCACACUUGCUUCCAGACUAACGGAAGUGUGUAAACCAGAGGAUGGGUCAUGGGGGUGAGGAAGGAGAAACGGCAGUAUCACUCCUCUGAGAGAGCAGAAGCCAGCAAGAAGGAAGAGGGUAAUGAAAAGGAGGCUGGGAACUUGCCUGCAACCUCAUGGCCCUGGUGGCUCAGAAGGGCUGAGCUAUUUGCAACAAUCUAUUGAGCUUCAAUCUGUAUUUACCCACUGCAUCUCCCAUGCUGGUACCGGAACAGUGGUUCCUAAACUUAAGCGUGCGUCAGGAUAGGCUGGGUGCCGUGAC